rnacentral:rRNA from 1 species
GAUGAACGCUAGCGACAGGCCUAACACAUGCAAGUCGAAGGGCAGCACAUGAGUAGCAAUACGAUGGUGGCGACCGGCGCACGGGUGAGUAACACGUAUGCAACCUGCCUUCUACUAUGGGAUAACCCGUUGAAAGACGGACUAAUACCGUAUAAUACAGGGGCUCCGCAUGGAGAUAUUUGUUAAAGAUUUAUUGGUAGAAGAUGGGCAUGCGUAUGAUUAGAUAGUUGGUGAGGUAACGGCUCACCAGGUCAACGAUCAUUAGGGGUUCUGAGAGGAAGGUCCCCCACACUGGUACUGAGACACGGACCAGACUCCUACGGGAGGCAGCAGUGAGGAAUAUUGGUCAAUGGACGAGAGUCUGAACCAGCCAAGUCGCGUGAAGGAAGACGGUUCUAUGAAUUGUAAACUUCUUUUGUGCAGGAAUAAAGUGGGUUACGUGUAACCUUUUGUAUGUACUGUACGAAUAAGGAUCGGCUAACUCCGUGCCAGCAGCCGCCGUAAUAC